AGGCAGCCGAGCAGGUGGUUUAUUCUCCUGGCAGGAGAGAGAGCGCAGCGGAGGAGGAGGAAGAGGAGGAGGAAGAGGAGGAGGAGGGAGGCUCCCGGCUGAUCGCUGCUGCACUAUUCGCUGAGGCUGACAUCAGUGGGGCUCCUGCAGGGGGGGUCGUGCAGGCCAACCGAGUCGUUUGCCCGCUAGCGUGGAUGGUUUACUAAUGGUGCAGGAUCCAUUAAGUCCAACCCAAACUAUCUUCAUGGACAGACGCCACAAGAGGUAAAGAAGAAAUUAAAUGACUCAAUUCUUCGUACAAGGUCCCACUUUGACUGUGUUUGCUGCCAGAUAAUCUUCCUGAAAAUGAACAGAUCUUUGUGUGUCACAGUUCAGUGUUCUGCCCCAUCGGUCCGCGUGCACAAUUCAUGCAAAUGUCACAGCGAUAAGAACAGCAGCAGAACGGAGAGAAACAAAAGGGCUGAUUGUGACACAAAGACGGCACUGUUAGAUAUGAUCUACACACACACACACACACACACACACACACACACACACACAUUUAUCUGUCCUUCAAGCAGAAGCUGAAUAGCCUCGAGAACAUGCAGGAUAAGGAACACUAUAGCAGCAUACCACACAUUACAGCAGUAUACCACCCAUCACACAACAUCAGUCUAAUUACUGAAAGUGUAUUUAUAACAAACACGACAGGAGCAGCACUCAGCAUUAAAAACCACCUGCUUAAUAUCGUGUAAACCUGGUGGUGUGGAGAUGACAGCUCCCUUCCACUGGGUCCUCUGGUGGCGGAUAAAGGAACAGCCCUCAGAUAUGAGGGUUAGCUGUGAAUGCAGUACCGGAACAAACCGUGGGCUUCCCUUUAGCAAGGCAGAGCACCCACCUGCCACCUGUGCAGGGUUUCCAUUCAGGAAGCAGGACUGAUGAUAGCAUUGGUGGGUGAACAUCGAUAGACAGCUGUUUGAGUCACUGAUGCCUGUUUGUUAAACAGACCAACGGUUAGGAAAGUCUGCCUCCUUCUGUGGGGAAUUGCUCCUGUGAUAGUCUUGGCAAGUCAUCACAGUAAUUCUGCUACUGGAAAUAUGGACUGACUGAAACCAUUCUUGAACAGUUUCCUGCAGCAAUGUUUGGAUAGGUUGUAUGUCCCACAUGAAUACAAGGCCCCACGUCACUGUUAGUAGUGUCAUUUGUCAAACUACUUAUAUUACGUCUGCCGUACUCCACAGCAUUGCCUGAUGUAGCAUUGUCAUGUAACUGCCAGUUAAUAACAUGAUAAACUUUACAGAUGCAAAAACAUCUGUCCUGGUAAGUAGAUUUAAUUUACACGAUAGUUCAACUCUGAUGUAUUACUACAAAGUGAACAACAAAGUUGGUGAAAAGCCGCCCAAAGAGCAAUGCGGAGAAAUAAAGAAAUGUUACAGCAAGAGCGACACUGAAAUGCAUAUCGAAGAAAUUCACAGAGCACCAGAGCAUUAACUGUUAUGGUCAUGCUCCUGCUCCUGCCCUUUUCCUCCCCUUUUCCUUCCUUUGCCCAUUGUUGCCCUUCUGUGUGUGUUUUGGCUUGUUUACCUCUGUCUCCCUCUGUCUGUCGUCCUUCCCUCCUGUCUCUCUCCCCCGGUCGCUCGCCCUCUGGCUCUGCCAGCUGAUUGCUGCCUGGGCAUCAGCUGCAGUCAAUCAGCAAACGUCACUCACCUGUUCCCCUCGGCUAUAUAAGCACUGUUCUCCCUUCCACUCUCUGCCGGAUCAUUGCCUUUGUCACACGUUGCCACAGCCUCUGUCCCCCGCAAGAUUUUCCUCCUAUGGACUACUUCUGCUUUUGGACUUUGGUGCCUUUUCACCUUUGUGGAUUACCCCCCUUGGACUUUGUUGUUUGGAUUAUCCUCAGUCUCUUUGGCUCCCUCGAUUAUUAGUUUCCUCUGUUGUGUGAGUACCGCCCCUUAGAUUUGUUAUAUUAAGCAUUUGGUUCCUUAGCCUUGGUUUCUUUGGUUUUUUUCCCUGUCUCCCCAGUUCUGGUCACGGUUAUUGUAUUUUUGGAGUUUUUCUUAAUAAAAACCCUUUAUUCAUCAUCA